UACGUAGGCAGCAAGCGUUGUUCGGAGUUACUGGGCGUAAAGGGUGCGUAGGCGGCCUUAUAAGUCUGGUGUGAAAUCUCCCGGCUUAACUGGGAGGGUGCGCUAUAGACUGUGGGGCUAGAGUGUGGGAGAGGAAAGUGGAAUUCCUGGUGUAGCGGUGAAAUGCGUAGAUAUCAGGAGGAACACCGGUGGUGUAAACGGCUUGCUGGACCAUAACUGACGCUGAGGCACGAAAGCGUGGGGAGCAAACAGG
rnacentral:rRNA from 1 species